ACACGGCAUGCACGUAUCGUGCUGCGAAAGUUUUACGAGUCUCGCGGUGUGUUUAAAGACGAACCUUGUUCGACACCGACGCCGGCGUCGCCGUCGAGACGUGUGAGACCCGGAACACCGGGAGAAACGGCGCAUCCAACUCUCGUUAAAAAUCCGCCUCGAAUCUCCUUCCUAGGCUCGACUUAUGCACGCAGCGUGUGUGUUGGAAAACAGAUCGUACAAAUCAACCGCCUUCUAACAUAACAAGCCACAUUAACCUCAAGUGAUUUCUAUUUUCUUACGAAGCGUGAAAGAAAUAUGAAUAUUAGUAUGUUUAUAUCGACAUAAAAAAAUAAAAAAAUAAAAAUAAAAAUAAAAAAAACAAGGGAGGAAUCCACAAAAUGCAGAUUUCAAGAGCUUAGGUUCAGAGGAAUACAAAAGAUUUUAAGAGCUAUAUUAAAUCUAAAUAAGUAUACAAAGUAUAUCUAACGAGAAAGGAGAAAAGAAGAAAACAAUUACUGUACAAACAAAUAUGCAAAAGAAACAAAUAAACAAGUUUCCACCAGUGCCAAAUUGAAGAAGAAAGCGAAAAUUGAAAAAAGACAAAGCAGAGAGAUUGCGAGUCUGCGACAUACAAACAAUAGUGUGUGAGAGAGCUGAGAGAGAGCAAGAGAGAAAGAGAGAGAGUAUGAUAGAGAAGAUUUAUUAUACCUUUUGAGAUAAUGACCUUUAAGCACACACAUAUAGUGUAAUCCGCAAUUUAAUCUUCUGAAAAUAAACACGAACAAGUGCAACGUACAACGUCACCGUUUUUCAUUACAUCAACCUGAGGAAAAGAAAGACAAGAGCGACAGAGGAAAGAAAGAAGACAGAGGAAUAUACAGUGUAAUACAGUGCGAGAGCAGGACCGUAAACCAAAGAAUCUACCAUUUUUUUCUAUUAAUCAUUCAUCGAAUAAACAAAAUAAUCUCUCGUCAAGUUAAACAAUAGUGAGACACAGACCGAUUCCUUCGUCAAAGCCGAACUAAUUAAGCGAGGCCAGGUACACAGUUUUAUAGAGGUAUAAUAGUAAUAGCAGUAUAAAUUAAGCACAUUUUUUUAAAACUGGACGCGUCACGUGACAGAUUUUCGCUAAGCGAAAGGAAGAAGAAGCAGAUGAUAAAGGGAGAGAUCAACCGAAUUCGCUUGAACACUCCCGAAGCAACCGAUCUACUUCAGUUCGUAGCCUAAACCUGUUGAGUACAAAAAAAAA